GAGAGCGCAGCAGGCGCUGAGGUGCGCCUGCCAGGGAACAAGGUCUCAGCAGCAGGAAGGCCACCGUUCCUUCCCAGUAUCAGAAACUUAGGGGCUCGGGGGCAGGAGGCCACCGGGAUGGAGCCUGUCUGAACGUCGUCGGCGCUGUCUGCUUUUACAGCCCUCCCGCCCCUGACCCAGGCCGCUGCUCUCAGCCUCCUCUUCCUUGUGCUGCUUACCCGAGGCGGGCUCCCUCCAAACACCACCCGCUCUUGUGCUCUCAGAAACCACUGUCCCUGCUACACUCACCUGGGACCAAAGAGGCUGUUCACUGUGGCUCCAUGACAACAGUUGAUAUUGGUGAUGGGGAGAUUUCAGCUUUUCCCCAAUCUAAGAAGAAAGAUUUAAAUAAAGAAAUCAAAAUCCCAGACAUCCAAAGCUGAACUGGAAUGAGAUGAUGGUCCUGAGGUUCUCCUGACUGCGUGGGCCUGUUGGGAAGCCAACAGAUCUCUCCUGAGAGGUAUACUUAAACCACCUUGGUGGCUUCCUACUGUUCAAGAACAAAAAGGCUAGAGUAUUUAGCAUGCGUGUUUCUCCAGCUUUAAUUGAUCCUGCGCCCUCUAGUACUCUGGUCUUCUUUUGGCUCCUGUAGAAUGCCGUGCUCCCUCCUGCUGUAAGGAUUUUGGACAUGCCACUCACUCCCUCUGCCUGAAACCCAUUCACCCACCAUCUCAUCUGUAUUUCCCAGUUUGCUCUUCUAAAG